GCCCGAAGAGGGGAUAACUACCCGAAAGGGUGGCUAAUACCCAUAUACUCCGAUUUAUUCGGAGGAAAGCUUUCGCGCUUCGGGAGGGGCCUGCGCAACAUUAGCUAGUUGGUGAGGUAAAAGCUCACCAAGGCGACGAUGUUUAGCUGGUUUGAGAGGAUGAUCAGCCACACUGGGACUGAGAUACGGCCCAGACUCCUACGGGAGGCAGCAGUAAGGAAUAUUCCACAAUGGGGGGAAACCCUGAUGGAGCAAUACCGCGUGCAGGAAGACGCUUUUCGGAGUGUAAACUGCUUUUAUCUACCAAGAUUAUGACGGUAGUAGAUGAAUAAGGACCGGCUAACUACGUG
rnacentral:rRNA from 1 species